rnacentral:misc_RNA from 1 species
CGCACAUUGCGCCCGCCAGCAUUCUGGCGGGCAUGCCUGUUCGAGCGUCAUUUCAACCCUCAAGCACUGCUUGGCGUUGGGGCACCGCGGAGACGCGGGCCCCCAAAUCCAGUGGCGGACGCUCCCGGAGCCUCCUUUGCGUAGUAAUCAUCACCUCGCACUGGGACCCGGGGCGCACUUGCCGUAAAACCCCCCAAUAUUUUACAAGGUUGACCUCGGAUCAGGUAGGAAUACCCGCUGAACUUAA